rnacentral:rRNA from 1 species
AGUAACCUGCCUUGGAGUGGGGAAUAACACAGUGAAAACUGUGCUAAUACCGCAUAAUGCAUUUGGGUCGCAUGAUUCUGAAUGCCAAAGAUUUAUCGCUCUGAGAUGGACUCGCGUCUGAUUAGCUGGUUGGCGGGGUAACGGCCCACCAAGGCGACGAUCAGUAGCCGGACUGAGAGGUUGGCCGGCCACAUUGGGACUGAGACACAGCCCAG